AAACUGAGCAGGUGUGUAGUUGAGGCAGUAACAAACUGAGCAGGUGUGUAGUUGAGGCAGGAACAAACUGAGCAGGUGUGUAGUUGGGGCAGGAACAAACUGAGCAGGUGUGUAGUUGAGGCAGGAACAAACUGAGCAGGUGUGUAGU